GGUUUCUCUGUAUAACAGCUCUGG
rnacentral:piRNA from 1 species